CCUGGUGGCUCAGUGGUUAAGCGUUUGGCUGCUAACCAAAAUGUUGGCAGUUCAAAUCCACCAGG
rnacentral:tRNA from 1 species